rnacentral:rRNA from 1 species
UACAGAGGGUGCGAGCGUUGUUCGGAAUUAUUGGGCGUAAAGGGCGCGUAGGCGGUGCGGUAAGUCACCUGUGAAAUCUCCUGGCUCAACUGGGAGCUUGCAGGCGAAACUGCCGUGCUGGAGUGUGGGAGAGGUGCGUGGAAUUCCCGGUGUAGCGGUGAAAUACGUAGAUAUCGGGAGGAACACCUGUGGCGAAAGCGGCGCACUGGACCACAACUGACGCUGAGGCGCGAAAGCUAGGGGAGCAAACAGG